GAUCAUGGCUCAGAUUGAACGCUGGCGGCAUGCUUUACACAUGCAAGUCGGACGGCAGCACAGAGAGGCUUGCUUCUUGGGUGGCGAGUGGCGAACGGGUGAGUAACAUAUCGGAACGUACCGGGCAGUGGGGGAUAACUAAUCGAAAGAUUAGCUAAUACCGCAUAUCUUCUGAGGAAGAAAGCAGGGGACCAUUUGGCCUUGCGCUGUUUGAGCGGCCGAUAU
rnacentral:rRNA from 1 species